CAUCAACAGAGUUAUGUUGAUGUUCAUCUUUAAAUUGACAUCGCCAUGGAGCAGAAGCUUAAUGCAUCUACAUGAGCACAGAAUUCUGAUCGCAGAUCUUCAUCCACCUUUGGAAAGCAGAAGAAAGGCAGCUGGUGGCACUGCAUCAGAAGACAGGACGUGUGGAGGUGCAUGAUGAGGAGAGAGAAGACAGCAGAAAGAUGGAGCAGAGCUAACUGUGUAUCAAGUAAGAGUACGAGGGGCAGCUUAAAAACCGUGAGUACAGAAAGACAUAACACACUGCUGUGAAAAAGGCUAAUCUGUCAUUAGAAACAUCUUUUCAGUAAGUGCAUUGGCAAGACAAAACUAUUGUGCUGAUAAAAAGAAGAAUUCAUUUAGUUAUUUUAACGCCCUUAAAAUAGGAUGAUCCCGAUACUAAUGUUGACAAAAGUGAUUGUUUCUUACUCAGCACAAUACUUUUGGCCAAUACUACCGAAAUUUGAAGAGAGGUUUCUUGUUUCUUCUCAAAUACUUAGUGUGUUAUAUGUUUAGUAACUCCUCAGCUUCCUUCAGUACUAAUGGGACUGUUAAUGCUGUAAUGUGUUCGUCAAUUUAUACGUCAGCUUUAAUAAAUGGAAGACACAGCUGUGCUAUUGAAAAUUAAUCAACAGGUUGCCAGGCCCUUGUAGCCAUUCCAGAUGAAAAUAGCAUAGCUCAGGUUUUCUGCAAUUGCAUUUCAGAAACUGAAAAACAUUGUUCUCAUCAGAAGAAGCCUUAAAUUUAGAAAGAUUGGGGUCCUGAUAAGAUAAGAUAAGAUAAGAUAAGACUUUAUUGAUCCCACAGCGUGUAAAUUUUUGUGUUACCUCAGCUCAGGUACAGAUAGCAGAAGGAAAAUACAAAAACAUACAAAUAAAAUACAAACAAAUAUAAAGUAAGUAAGAUAAUACACUAUAUACACAGAGUUUAUCUGGACGUAGCGUUUUCAGUGUCAUCCGAGUGACUUCUUCGGCCUGAGUGACUGAAGAAGUCACUUGGAUGAGUGACGAAACGUUUCUCCCAUUGCAAACGCUACAUCCAGAUGGGUCCAGUUAGAUUAGGAAGAGAAAAUCUGAUGAUUCAGACGCCACUGAUGCAAAACUGAUUCUUUCUUUCAUCACUAUAGUCAUUUUAAUCUGUGCUAAUGUCUUUGUAAAAAGGUUUUUUGACUGAGAAGUUGGGCUGUACACAUGAAAAACUGACAUUAGAUAAGAUAAUGUACCGCUGUAACACAGGAGCUAUUACUGCUGAAAAUGGGCCUCGGGACACCUGUGUAGAUAUUCCAUUCAAACUCAUUCAUGAUUUAUGAUCAAUGUUACUGUUAAACAUUUAUAUUUCUUGACAUAAUUAGGAGUGACUAAACAUCAAACCAAAUUUGACUGUAUUUAGAAAACAAGACAUUUCUGAUUGACCUCAAACUUUUGAGCUGUAUGGUUUUUGAUGACAGCAGAUGGUAUCAGAGUAUCAGGACAGGGAGAGACUGUUAAAAAGUUAUGAGCUGUCUUGCUGCAGAGAAAGUGGAGUCGGUCAUCCUGGAAAUGCUACCAGGAUAGGCAGCUGGCAGGAUGAAUGAUGCUCUGCCUCUGUGGUCAAGUGCAGACAUAGGCUUUAAGCAACCAUGAGCCACUAAUAAGAGAAAAUUCAUCAACACACAAUAAAGUGGACUUGUUAGGGAGAGUUUACCUUUAGCAUUGGAAUACCUCAACUCAAUAUUUGUUAACAAAUAUGCUUUGAAAAUUCAGUCUUUGUUAUAAACUGCUGACAAAAUCCUGAUCAGACACAGUUACAUACAUGCAUACAAUACACACUACUGCUCAAAAGUUUGGGGUCAGUCAGAAAACUUCUUGAUGUUAAUGUCAAAUUUGCUUUUAUUGUUGAACUUUAUCAGUAUCAUUUUUUCACAGAUAGUUUUGAUCAAAUCAUUCAUUGUAAAUUACUUCUGAUGUGUAAGGAAAUAUCUACACAGGUAUGCAGAAACCCACUUUUACUAACAAUCACUCCUGUAUAUUGUAAUCUUAGAUUGUGAUUCUUUAUCCAAGUUUAUCAGGUCAGAUGGAUAAUAUAUGAGUAGAAAAACCUUUCUACAAAGAAUAAGCCAUUCCAGAUGAAAAUAGCAUAGCUCAGGUUUUCUGCAAUUGCAUUUCAGAAGCUGAAAAACAUUGUUCUCACCCAAAGGAAGCAUUACAUUUAGAAAGUUUGGGGUCCUGAGCAAUGACUUUUUGGCUUCAAGAGGAUGAAAACCUAUUGGUGUGUGUGCUAAUGUCUAUAGAAAAAGGUUUUAUACAACUGGAUGUGUCACUCUCUUU
rnacentral:lncRNA from 1 species